rnacentral:rRNA from 1 species
AAUUUUUAAUAAAAUUUUAUCUUAAUAAAAAGUGAAAUUAGAUUAUUAAAUGUAAAAUUUUAUUUAAUUUUAAUAUAAUGAAGCUUAAAAAAUUAAGGUAUGAAUUAGGAUUAGAUACCCUAGUACACUUUAAAUUAAUUAUAAAAAAAACUGGAAUACUAAAAGUUAUAUUCUUUAAAUUUAAAAAAUUCGGCGGUAUUUUAGUCUAGUUAGAGGAACCUGUUUUUUAAACGACAAUACACGCAUUAUCUUACUUAUUCUAGUAAUCAGUUUGUAUACCGUCAUUAUAAGAUAAUUUAAGAGAGAAUAUUAUUAAAAUCAUAUUAUGUGAGUAUAUUAGAUCAAGGUGCAGCUAAUGAAUAAGAAAAAAUGGGUUACAAUAAAAUUUAUUUAUACGGAUUUAAUAUUUAAAUAUAUUAAUGAAGGAGGAUUUAAUUGUAAAAUAAAAUUAAUAGGUUUU